UACAGAGGCCUCGAGCGUUAGGCGGAAUCACUGGGCUUAAAGCGUGUGUAGGCGGACUUCUAAGUACCUUGUGAAAUCCCACGGCUUACCCGUGGAACUGCUGGGUAUACUGGUUGUCUUGAGCCGUCUAGGGGCGAGUGGAACAAAUGGUGGAGCGGUGAAAUGCGUAGAUAUCAUUUGGAACGCCAAUGGUGAAAAACAACUCGCUGGGGGACGUGCUGACGCUGAGACACGAAAGCCAGGGGGAGCGAACGGGG
rnacentral:rRNA from 1 species